rnacentral:rRNA from 1 species
AAACGGGUUAAUAUUCCCGUACUUCUUACAAUUGCGAUGGGGGGACGGAGAAGGCUAGGUGGGCCUGGCGACGGUUGUCCAGGUUCAAGUGCGUAGGCUUAAGAGUUAGGUAAAUCCGGCUCUUUUUAAGGCUGAGACACGACGUCGAGCACCUACGGGUGUGAAGUCAUUGAUGCCAUGCUUCCAGGAAAAGCCUCUAAGCUUCAGAUUGUAAGGAAUCGUACCCCAAACCGACACAGGUGGUCGGGUAG